CUUUGCAGCACUCAAUAUUUAAAAUUGAAUGCUGUUUGUUUGUUGUUUUUAAUAUAGUUAUGGUUAUGUGAGUCUCAGUAAAACUGUGGAGUAUGCAGACAUAACUGAAAUAAUGCUCUGCUGUAUCGACCCGAAGUGUGGGUAUUCCUGGCCUGAGAAUCUCAAGAAAUCAGCUCCUUCUGGCUUCCUGAUUUGUCUGAAUGGUUCUCAGAGAAUUCUUACCAGAAAAUGACUCUGUCAAGUUCCUGGUAAUCUGUUUUGUUGAACUAUGGAAUCCUUUUACCAAAAUGAAGAGAGAUGACAACUAGUCUUGUCCGGUAUUCUCCAAGCUCCCAGAAAGUACUAUCAGGAUUAUUCAGGUUCAAACCUGCAAGGUUUUCUUAGCACACCCAACUUCUGCGAAUUGCUGCUGACUCUGAAGAAAUGAUGAGCUUGUGCUUGGUUUUUCCUAUUGGAGAAAAUUCCACUCAGGUCAUUUUGGCUUCUCAGCUGCAUGAAGAUACUGCAGCAGGAUGUGAUACUGGCAUGGGAGAUGGCAGUUUUCCAUAGAUGACAGUGAAUUGUAUAGCAAGGUUAUGGAUGCCGUCACAAGGACAAACCAGCAAGGAAAUAAAAGAUACAAGAGCGACCAUGCAACAAGAAACAAAUGGAAAGGUUUACAUUCUUUAAAGAUGUGGAUCACCAUGCUGUGUUUGAAGCUAUAGGACUUUGCAAAGAAUUUUGCUUGAAGAGACCAGCAAACACCAGAGAUUGAGAAAAGAAGCAUCAUGAGGUUCUCUGCUUUUCCCAGGCUUAAUACCCAUAAGGGGAAUCAGAUAAAAUGUGCAUGCUCCUUUGCCUGUGCACAAUUUCUUCUUGACAUGUCUUAGUUUAUUCCUUCAGGUAAUUGACUUGUGGAGUGAGUCAUAAGUAUAGAGGUGCUGAGAAUCCAGAAAUAAUCUACAGAAGGAAGAAAUAAAGUAAUUAUGCCUAUACUUUAUUCUUGUAAAUCUUUAACAUUUGGCAGUGAAAGGAGCUGAAGUGUAUCAUUAAAGUCUACCAUAAUCAGCUCUCUGUUUUAUUUCUUGUGAGAAACAGCUAAAUUCUGGGUGACUUUCACUGCAGCCUUACACAAUGAGGUGUGAAUCGCACCAGAACCAUGUGUGAUGUAGCAGAACCAUACAUUCCACAGAUUCCCUUUCACAAAAGUGAGUUCUAGUUGUCCCUGACCUGCUAAUACCUGAUUUGAGAACCAAGACAAGAAAUGAACUCAUGAUGGGAGCAAAGGAUUAGUAUGAAGAUGAGCUGACGUGGUGGCCUAAGAUUACAUCACCUCAGCUCUGAAUCACACUUGAGUGAUUGGCUUGAGUAGAAUGGCAUGCAGUCCCCCUUGGUGGGGAUAAAGAUGGACACAUAUUCUAAAGCUACAGAUCCAUCAAGACAAUCACUUACUGGUUCUCCAGGGACAACUGUCUUAUCCCGUAGUUUUUGGAUAUUGAAAGGGAUAGAUAUUGUUCCCACACACUGCAGAAUCAUGCUGGUCAAGAGGGAGCCUAAAAAAGAAGAUUGCUAGAACCAAUUCUGAGUUGAAUAAUUAAUGGAGUUCCUGCCUCCUAACUUUGUAGUACAAACCAGUGAAUCAUUAUAGAUCUUUCAGUGUUACUGUUAGGAAAACUGGGAACUACCUUCAAAAACCUCCUAUUAUGGUUACUAUGAGAUGCUGAUGAAAUGUCAAGAAGAUGAUGUCUGUCUCAUCUUCUGAAUAUAAAGUUCUUGACAACUGGAAUCUUCUCAUGUAAUAAUAUGUAGGCUUGGUUUGAACACUGCUUUCCAUAACAUUCAGAAAAAUAUGAACUUUACUUCUGGAACUCAACAAGUGUUGAGUUCAAAUAUGAAAAUAUUUGUAUUGACUUCCAACUUAUUGCAGCACUUUCUUGGAGUCAGUCUCACUGAAGUUACUGACAAAAUUUUAAACACUUAAACAACAUGUACAAUUUUGUGUUGUUUUAUUUGCUUAUACUUUUUGCUUACUGCUGUUUCUGGUUUAAAAUAGUGUUAAUAACAUAGGAAACAGGUUUACAAUGGUCAAAUCACAGCAGAUUUUUUCAUACUUUUCUACAUUGAUAACUUCAGCAAAAUAGCUACAAAUAUAUUGGAAAUCAAUGUAUGUAGCUUGUAGAUUUGCUUCGUGUUUUCAUAUUCUAAUUCAUUCUCUUGUAUUUCUUCAUAACAUUAUUUAAACCCAACAAUGUUCUUAUAUUGGCAAAUUAUGAUACAGAUUUUAUCUAACCUGCUGUAACAUCUUGUCCCUUACUAACAUCUUAAAGUUCACCUUAUUGUUUGAUUAUGUAGUGGACUCAGAGGUAUGUUAAUUGGUUUAGAAAAGUGAAAGCCUAUGUAUAUAUAAGCCUAUUCUUUAAUUAUGAGACCUAAAUGUAGCUGUAUAUAUUGUACGUAUACAUUAUAUCAAUUUAUUCAAUGUCAGUUGCUUUAAGAAAAUUCACUUGCUUUUCAUCAUACCAGAAGCCUUUCUGGUUCUUCAGCUCCCCCUUCUAAAAUAGUAUUUUGAAAAUAUCUUGUAAGUUUUGUGAAUAGGUCAAUUUUCAUAGCUCUUUUUGCUAAAAAUGAUCAAACUGAACAAAAAUGAAAUCUGAACUCAGAUUGCCAUGACAGGUUGUUGUCCAUGAAUUGGCAACUGAAAGAAUAGAAAAGAUCUGUGAAAUGUAUCAGUGGCAGUAAUCACUAUUUAAAUUAUGUUGCUUCUUUCUAGGUAGUGGGAUUGUUUUUUUACAACUGUGGAAGUGUUAUGAUAACUAAACAAUUUAAAAGUUGCAUUAAAAUUGUUCUUUUUUUUUUUUUUCUUUUUCUCAAUGUGGUAGGUGCUGUGCUCUAAAGAACAGACAAGGUUUUGCAUAAUCAUGCUUAUUUUGGUGUCACGUACUGCUGUUUUAGGCCUGUUCAAUAUAAAAUCUGACUUUUAAAAUGUAGAUUUCUUAAUUAUUUUUUUUUACGUCAAUGAAAUACAGAUAAUAGCUUGUAGGAUCUAUUAAUUGCUGUAAAGAAAACUAAGAGGAAUGGAAAAAUGGCAAGACCGGUGAAAGCAGUGAGGUAAUCAAAUAGAAAUGCUCUUAGAAAUACUGACCUUGUGCUAAUACAUAGAGCAUCAAAAGGGUUUAAAAGGAAAAUGGUUAUUCAUAGUUACUUAUUUCUGUUUUGCUAUCUUUUCUAUGAAAUAGAAUUUUUGUUUAAUUUUGGAAGUUUUACAUAAUUUGUAGCGAUCUUUCUCUGUCCAAUGCUUCUUCAGGGACACUUGAAUGAUAAUUUUAUACCUCCAGACUUUGUUAAUAUUCAAAGCAGAGUUACCCAGAACAUCUUCUGUGUAAUUACUAGUUUCUAGAUUUUAGAGUUCCAUGGAUCCCAAGUAUGAUUUCUUUGGUAAGAAAAAAGAAAAAUCUGUAAUUCUACAAAUCACAGUACAAUUUAACAAGAAUUAAGUUGAUCUUCAAUAUCUGUCACUAGAAAUCUAAAGCACAAGUUAGUUUAUUCUGCUUGAGAGACUUGGAAAAAUAAGUUGUAUUUUGUGCUACAUUUUGUUAAGAACACUGUAGUGUAAUAUUAAGUAAUAUGUAAGUAAAGCUGAAUAUGUGGCCAGAGUUGAGAAAAAACUAGGUCUGCAAUAUAGAGAGAGUGGUAAUUAAAACUUCUGUUUGGGGUAACAGAGAGCAUUCAGUUAGUGCCUGUCUGCUCACUUCUGUUAUUUUUAGGUACUUGUUAGGUCACAGAUCAAAUGUGCUAGAUAUACAAUAGAUAAAUUUUAAACUUGAGCAAGGCAGAUGCAUAAUGUUUUACUUAACUUUUAUGAAAUGCGUCUUAGAUUACAUUUUGCUGGGGUCCAGAAAAAGAUUCCCAAUAAAGGAAUCUUAUCUUAAAGAACAUUCUGUUAACUGGGUAUUCAUAUUUUUUAGAGAAUGAAUUAAUUUAAAUGCAAUUGAAAGGCAUUUUGAAGACUACAAGAACUGACCAAUUUCUAAACAGAUGCAGUUACCUGUGGUGCAGUUACAGUUUACCUAUAGAAGCGUAUAUUUCACUCUGAACAAGAACGCUGUGUGCUUCUCCAAUGUUUGACACUGCCUUCUAGCUCCUAGUAACAACAAUAUUUGGAGUCAAAAAGCUGACACCAUUCAGAAAAAUUGCAGUGAUCCUAAUGCAACUCAUUGCAAAGGUUGUCUCUUAAGGUCCUGAAUACCCUGUAUGGGAUUGGUAUUUGAAUGAUGUUUCUGACUUUGAGUUGCUCAGGACACUGGUUGGUGGAGUCCCUUGGGAGGCGGUUC